rnacentral:rRNA from 1 species
UACAGAGGUCCCGAGCGUUGUUCGGAUUCACUGGGCGUAAAGAGCUCGUAGGUGGUUUGUCGCGUUGUCCGUGAAAACUCACAACUCAAUUGUGGGCGUGCGGGCGAUACGGGCAGACUGGAGUACUGCAGGGGAGACUGGAAUUCCUGGUGUAGCGGUGAAAUGCGCAGAUAUCGGGAGGAAUACCAGUGGCGAAGGCGGCUUCUUGGCCUGUUCUUGACGCUGAGGCGCGAAAGCUGGGGGAGCAAACGGG